rnacentral:sRNA from 1 species
AGUUUUUAAUAUUCAAG